GGUUCUAUGGUGUAAUGGUUAGCACUCUGGACUUUGAAUCCAGUGAUCCGAGUUCAAAUCUCGGUAGGACCU
rnacentral:tRNA from 1 species